GACCUGAUAUCAGGCAA
rnacentral:rRNA from 1 species